CCGGAGUCCGCACCCGGGGUCUCCCCGAAAAGGGGGUCCUCGGGGCGCGCUGACCCAACCGUGUCUACCUUAACAACAGUUGCCUCGGCGGACCGUACCCGUCAGGGUCGACCCGAGCCGCGUGCCCCCCAGGGGGUUCGUCCGGCCGGGCCCGCGUCCGCCGCAGGGACCUCAAACCCCAACCUAUCUGGACGUCUGAGUGACUAUCUAAUAGUUUA
rnacentral:misc_RNA from 1 species